AACAUUGUAGGGAAGGCGCUCAUUGAUGCCGAUAUUCUUCAGGGCUGUAUCCACACGGCGCAAGAACUUAGGCACACCCUUCCAUACAGUCUCAUGGAUGUAGCUCAUCCCAUAGCGCAUUUCGUCCUGCGGGGUGGGUUGUGCCCUCCUGAUUUCAUCGGUUCUGAAGGCUGCUUGGAUCUGUGAACACCCAAGAAAAGGAAUUAGAACUAAACAACCCAAACAACAAAAGUACCAUUUUGGUGGCUUAAAGCAGUAAACUUCUCAGGUGGUCUGCAUCAUAUAUAUGCACUACCGGAGACACGCUCUUUACCGAGUGCUUAGUGAUGAAAUUAUGACUCGUCUGGAAUUUGUAACAAUAGGAACUUGAGCAUAGGCUAGCUAAUUGAUAGUGUGGAGUUAAGGCUAUCUAGAUUUGAUUCCUCGUCAAGGAGAAAUUGGGUGCCCUACUUGUUAGGAAAAUAUAAUGCUGAGUACAACAACUUGAUUACAACUAAACCAUUAAUGCAUCUGUGGUACCGAUGUUCUACUCAGAUGGCUCUAUAUGAGUAAGAGAUCUUUGUACAAAAUGAUCUUUUUUAAGUAAGGAAAAUGCUUUGAGCACAGCUGGAGAAUAGCAUAUAAAUAAUUCAGUGUAGUUUUCAUCAAGUGGUCUUCAACAUUGAAUCUUGAGUCAAGUCGGCCUCAUAUGGUUAUACAUGUAGCAGUCCUCCCAUUGCAUUGUUACAACAUAAAGGUGCAGUCUAGCUCUUUCCUGAUUAGGUUAGUUUCUACUUUGGAGUUUGCGAAGACAGUUUAAAGAGUGGAAAAGUUCGGUUGUUUAUUACCUUAGCUUGGUAAUAAUGAAUAUAUAUUUAUAUGUGUUUUAAUGAGAGAACCUGACCUGACUUGACAUAUAAAUAAAUUGAAGAUUUCUCUGGCGCACUAACUUACACGUGUCAUGCUCGAUAUCUUGCAAGCUCAUGAGUCCACGUGUACUGUGCAUGUGUUCUAUUCUAUCUCUAUCAAAGAAUGAAUGUCUCUUGAUAAAGUUCUUGCAUUCCCUGGUGUCAAAUGUAAUAUGUACGUACCUCUCUCUGCAGAGCCUCAUCGAGCUCCUGCUUGUCGUCGUCAGUGAUGUCCUUGGCAUUCAGCUGGGUCAGACAAUUUCGGAUCCUGCAGCGACAAGACCAACAUUUUUUAUUUAUCAAAAAAAUAAAAAAAAAUAAUAGUUAAAGAUAUAUAACGUGAAUAGCAUGCAUAUCGAUCAAGCUCAUUGAAAAAUAUAUACCUGGCAUUUUUUUGCAGGAGCGAGCGGCGGGCGGACUGCGUAGGAUGCGCGGUGAAGACGAGGUCGACGGUCUGGUUCUUGAGCGCCUCGAACACCUCCUCGGGGGACUUGCCGACCUCGGACACGAGGCGCUUGAGCGUCUCCUCGAUGUCGGACUCGGUGGUGGCGGAGCCCUCGUCGGCGAACCCACCUUUCUUGAGCUUGCUGUUGCGGCGGCGGUGCGCGAUCUGCACCUCCUCGGCCAGGUUGGCGAGGUUGAGCAUGUGCAGGAUGGAGCUCGCCACGAGGAUGGCGUCGGCGGGGGCCAGCCCCGUGAGCUUGGCGCCGAGCUCGCCCAGCUUCGUCGUGUCUCCUUUGCCCUCGUAGUCGGCUGAGACCUCGUAGCACUCCUGGACCUGCAUGCAUGCAUUACAGUAAGCACUGGCGGGGAGACGUACGAGCAGUGCCGCGCGCAGGCGGCAACCGGUCGAAGAAGAAAUGGGCGGCGGCAGUGGUUAGUUACAAAUUCGCGAAGGCUGGGCCCGUGGAGGUCCUGGAGGAUGUUGAGGAAGCGGUCGACGAGCAGCGCAUCGUACUCGAUGAG
rnacentral:lncRNA from 1 species